rnacentral:rRNA from 1 species
ACAGCAGUAGCCGCGGUAAUACGGAGGGUGCAAGCGUAACUCGGAAUUACUGGGCGUAAAGCGUGCGUAGGUGGUGGUUUAAGUCCGUUGUGAAAGCCCUGGGCUCAACCUGGGAAUUGCAGUGGAUACUGGGUCACUAGAGUGUGGUAGAGGAUAGCGGAAUUUCCGGUGUAGCAGUGAAAUGCGUAGAGAUCGGAAGGAACAUCUGUGGCGAAGGCGACUAUCUGGGCCAACACUGACACUGAGGCACGAAAGCGUGGGGAGCAAACAGGAUUAGAUACCCCUGUAGUCCCUGUCUCUUAUAA